GAUGAACGCUGGCGGCGUGCCUAAUACAUGCAAGUCGAGCGAAUGGAUUAAGAGCUUGCUCUUAUGAAGUUAGCGGCGGACGGGUGAGUAACACGUGGGUAACCUGCCCAUAAGACUGGGAUAACUCCGGGAAACCGGGGCUAAUACCGGAUAACAUUUUGAACCGCAUGGUUCGAAAUUGAAAGGCGGCUUCGGCUGUCACUUAUGGAUGGACUCGCGUCGCAUUAGCUAGUUGGUGAGGUAACGGCUCACCAAGGCAACGAUGCGUAGCCGACCGGAGAGGGUGAUCGGCCAAACUGGGACUGAGACACGGCCCAGACUCCUACGGGAGGCAGCAGUAGGGAAUCUUCCGCAAUGGACGAAAGUCUGACGGAGCAACGCCGCGUGAGUGAUGAAGGCUUUCGGGUCGUAAAACUCUGUUGUUAGGGAAGAACAAGUGCUAGUUGAAUAAGCUGGCACCUUGACGGUACCUAACCAGAAAGCCACGGCUAACUACGUGCCAGCCGCCGCUGUAA
rnacentral:rRNA from 1 species